UCUGACAUAGCUAGCAACCUUGGGUUCAUUAACCAACAUGAAUUAUUGCAAAGAGCAAGCAAUGAUGCAGUGGAUAAUAAUUUUAUCGAAGUGUUUGAGAGUCCGGAAUGUGUGAUGACAAAUAAAGCUGAGCAAAGCUCUGUUACAGCUCCUGCAAUGCCUCCUGUGUGUAAGGUUAUGUCAAGGUUUCCUCAUUCAGCUU